GUACGCUGGCGGCACGCCUAACACAUGCAAGUCGAACGAAGUAGCAAUACUUAGUGGCAGACGGGUGAGUAACAUGUAGGUAUCUGCCCUAUGGCCUGGAAUAACACGAGGAAACUUGUGCUAAUACCGGAUAAGUCUUUACGGAGAAAGCUUUAUGCACCAUUGGAUGAGCCUGCACUUGAUUAGUUUGUUGGUAGGGUAAUGGCCUACCAAGACUGUGAUCAAUAGCUGAUUUGAGAGGAUGAUCAGCCACAUUGGGACUGAGACACGGCCCAAACUCCUACGGGAGGCAGCAGUGGGGAAUCUUGCACAAUGGAGGAAACUCUGAUGCAGCGAUGCCGCGUGAGUGAAGAAGGCCCUUGGGUUGUAAAGCUCUUUCGUCGGGGAAGAAAAUGACUGUACCCGAAUAAGAAGGUCCGGCUAACU
rnacentral:rRNA from 1 species